ACUCAAAGGAAUAGACGGGGGCCCGCACAAGCGGUGGAGCAUGUGGUUUAAUUCGAUGCAACGCGAAAAACCUUACCUACCCUUGACAUCCUAGGAAUCUUUCAGAGAUGAGAGAGUGCCUUCGGGAACCUAGAGACAGGUGAUGCAUGGCUGUCGUCAGCUCGUGUCGUGAGAUGUUGGGUUAAGUCCCGUAACGAGCGCAACCCUCGUCCUUAGUUGCUACCAGUUCGGCUGAGCACUCUAGGGAGACCGCCGGUGAUAAACCGGAGGAAGGCGGGGAUGACGUCAAGUCAUCAUGUCCCUUACGGGUAGGGCUACACACGUGCUACAAUGGACAGUACAAAGGGUUGCCAAGCCGCGAGGCGGAGCUAAUCUCAUAAAGCUGUUCGUAGUCCGGAUUGGAGUCUGCAACUCGACUCCAUGAAGUUGGAAUCGCUAGUAAUCGCAAAUCAGCAUGUUGCGGUGAAUACGUUCCCGGGCCUUGUACACACCGCCCGU
rnacentral:rRNA from 1 species